GGGAAGGUUCAAAGGAAGGCGGAAGUGGGCACGCAUUAAGGCAACAUGGAGAAGUCGGCGGAGGAAAGGGGCAACCUGGCUGGGGUCCGGCACAUUGUCCUGGUGCUGUCGGGGAAAGGAGGCGUAGGGAAGAGCACCAUUUCGACAGAGCUGGCGUUGGCGUUGCGUCACGCUGGGAAAAAGGUCGGGAUCCUGGACGCGGACCUCUGUGGCCCCAGCAUCCCUCGCAUGCUCAAUGCGCAGGACCGAGACGUUCACCAGUGUGACGGCGGCUGGGUGCCGGUCUUUGUGGACCAAGACAAAAGCAUCGCCCUCAUGUCCAUCGGCUUCCUCCUGGAGAAGCCGGAUGACGCCGUGGUAUGGAGAGGACCCAAGAAAAACGCAUUGAUAAAACAGUUUGUCAGCGACGUGGCCUGGGGAGAACUUGACUUCUUGAUCGUGGAUACGCCCCCCGGGACUUCCGACGAGCACAUCUCCACCGUCGAAUCCCUCCGACCGUACAAGCCGCUGGGGGCAGUAUUGGUUACAACACCGCAGGCCGUCUCCGUGGGGGACGUGAGGCGGGAGCUGACCUUCUGCAAGAAGACGGGCUUGCACGUCCUCGGGAUCGUAGAGAACAUGAGCGGCUUUGUCUGCCCGCACUGCUCGGAAUGCACAAAUCUCUUUUCCAAAGGCGGAGGGCAGGAGCUGGCCAAGCACGCCGGGGUGCCGUUCCUUGGCUGCGUGCCGCUCGACCCACAGCUCAGCCGGAGCUUGGAAGAAGGCAGCGACUUCCUGCAGGAAUUUCCCAAGAGUUCGGCCUUCCCUGCGCUAGCCAAUAUCGCCCAGCAGAUCUUGGCAGGGGCGUCCAGUCACAGCUCCUGAGGCGGGCGCGAAGGGUGGAAACUACGCCGGCGCCUCCCCUUCAUGCAAAGAGAAGCAAGAGAAGCUGUCCAGGAAAUGGGAUCAGCAAGGCAGGGAGAGACGUCUUCAGGCAGUGACAGGCUUGAAGGGACUCUGCUUGAGCCAAAACGCAGCACAAGGAGGCUGUGAGCAGCACUUUUUCCCUUCUGGAUGCGAGACUCUCUGUGUCUGCCUUCGAGGAUUCCAGCCUGCGAUUGGUUUUUUUAACCCUGCAUUCAGCAUUUCGGCUGCCAAGAGCUCAGGGUAAUGAUGGUACUGCUCACAUCCACGCUCUCUUUCUCUCCCCCAACAAAGCUGCCGGCAGGACUGUGGCAUCUGGCACUUCUGACGCUGCCCUCGCUCCACCACCUCGCACCAAAGCCCCUUGUGAAGUCGACACAGCAUACGCCCAGCGAGGCGCAUCCCCUGUGCAAGACAGGAGCCCGUACGAAAGCCGUGUCUCUUGAAAAUGUAGCUCCUCUACUGCUCUGCGGAAUGAAUCACGACUCAGGAAUUUGUGGCCACACAGCCCCCAUUAAACAUUCUGUCUUAGUUUGAAAAAAAAAA